rnacentral:pre_miRNA from 1 species
UUCCACUCAUAUAACUACUACCUUAGUCCAGAACCUAAUUAUUUCUUGCUAGGACUAUUGUAGUAGCUUCCUGAUUGGUCUC